CCUCACUUCGCCUCGCUGCCGCCAGGUGAGCUAGCCACGCUCACGCCAACGCCCUACCCGCCAUGAACUUCCCGAGCUCGAGUUCCAGCAUGGGGUGACCCCCCUCGUCAUCCAUCCGAAGACCUUGAGCCAUGGGAAGGAGACCUCACAGAACCCUCUUCUUCCUCAACAAUCCAGGGAAAGCCAAGGCCCAGAUCAACGACGUUCCUGAGCCCUUCUUCCUCUCCUUCGCGAACCAAUAGCAUCGCCGCGCUCCGUCGUACCUCAUGUUGUCUCCGACUCAUCUCCAACCGCAUCUUGAUGUCCGACAAGCUCUAGGUGAGCCGCGUGUAUGACCUUCCACUUACCAUCACCGUUCGUUAGGUGUACGUCGUGCAGCGCCCGUGCCAACUCCGUGCGCUCCGCGCUCUGCAAGUACGCAUUUUCUUUUGCAUGGCCCCGCAGCCGCGUUGUGUGCCUCCGCUCUAGCUUGUGCAUGCAACUUGCUCGCUUCAUGCUUGCUGAGUCCCACAACACGCACCUCGCUAGCCUGCUAGCCCACCACCCCGCUUUGUCUCGCCGCAGCAUGACCUCGAGAUCGAGCGCCACUCCGCUCACCGCGUAGCCGCGUCCUACCACUCAGAAUGGGAUCCCCUAUGUAUUCCACAACCCCUCUGUAGUUCCUUCACCCCGAUGGUCGCCAGAAGAUUCGUCGGUGUCGUCGCCUGCUUCUCUGCCUUAGGUGGAAGAGGACCACCACGUGGGUCUGUUCAUAAGGAAUGGAUCCCUUUUCCUAGCAAGCGCAGUAGAAGUAGUGUAGUGAUAGCGCCCCUCUCCACCACCACGGGCGAACCGGGUUUGAAUACUCCCGGGCACACCUUAAUUCCACCUUCUUUCCUUCCUUGUAGAGGUACUAACAGGAGGCCCAUAGACCCACUUGUCACCGUGUCAUCACCUUAGUGUCACUACCAAGUGUCCAUGGUGCUUUAAUUCAUUAUUUUAACUUUUUAAAUCUCAUAAAGCCAUUUAAGGAAUUAUUUCAUUUCUGGUAGUUUCCAUUUCAGUAAGUUUCCUGUUAGGGCAAGUCCAAAUCUGGACAAUUCCAAAUAUGGAAGUUCCUUUUUUGUCAACUACCAUUUUAGGGAGGAGAUGACUUGUUGCAUUUGUAGCAUUUUCUUAAUAUAGACAUAUGCCUAUUAUAGAUGUUUUGGGGUAUAAAAAUCUACAGAAUCCAUGUGUGGAAUUAGUUUUGUCAUUUGAGCAAGUUUGUGUGCAUGGUAUUUUUUGCUAGGAUGCCCUUUUGUCUAUUUUGUGUGAUUCAAUCCAUGCACCUUUUGGAAUAGUUGUGAACAUGAGAUAUGCACCUUAAUUCCCCCUUCUUUCCUUCCUUGUAGAGGCACUAACAGUAGGCCCAUGGACCCACUUGUCAUCGUGUCAUCACCUUAGUGUCACUACCAAGUGGCCCUGGUGCUUUAAUUCAUUAUUUUAACUUUUUAAAUCCCGUAAAGCCAUUUAAGGAAUUAUUCCAUUUCUGGUAGUUUCCAUUUCAGUAAGUUUCCUGUUAGGGCAAGUCCAAAUCUGGACAAUUCCAAAUAUGGAAGGGUGUUUUCUGUCAACUACCAUUUUAGGGAGGAGAUGACUUAUUGCAUUUGUAGAAUUUUCUUAAUAUAGACAUAUGCAUAUUAUAUAUGUUUUGGGGUAUGAAAAUCUAUAGAAUCCAUCUGUGGAAUUAGUUUUGUCAUUUGAGCAAGUUUGUGUGCAUGGUAUUUUUUGCUAGGAUGCCCUUUUGUCUAUUUUGUGUGAUUCAAUCCAUGCACCUUUUGGAAUAGUUGUGAACAUGAGAUAUGCCCUUUGACAUGUGUACUAGCCCUUGGUAUUUUUGUUUGCCAUGGAAAUCCAUGUCUAGUUGUUAGUUUCUUGCUACCAACAUGUUAUAAAAAUAUUGUUGUUUUGAAGGGAGAAGAUAUUUCUAAGUCUGAAAGUUUUAUAUAUUGUUGCUAUGUUGUCAUGUGAAUUUCCAUUGAUCUACAGAUCCCUUGUGGUCAUCCCCAUGAAGUGUUUUGUAAACCAUGUUAUCCCAUGUUAUGUUGUGCCAUUAGUUUCCAAGUAUAGGUUUGGCAUCAUAGUUAAUACUACUGUGUAACAUGUCAAUCUGAUAAAACUGAUGCUCCUUGAACCAUGUUAUUUUUUCCAAGUUUAAGAAACUGUUUAUUUUAGAUUGCCAUCUUGGGUUGAUGCUAGCCAUGUUUUUGUGCAUAUUCUGAUGAUGCCCCAUGUGGAGUUAUUUGUGGUGCAUCUCGUCCACUAUCAUGCAGUAGAAUUUGAUGCCAUGAUAGUCCCUGUAGCAUAUAGUUUUAUUGUUGUCAAUAUGCCUUCAGGUUAACAUUCAUUGUGAAACCCUUUUAUUUUCUCUAAGUACCAUGUGAGCUUCCUACCAUGUGACUCAUGACUAUUUUAACUGCGAUUCCUCCCGAUGAAAUGAAAUAUAUGCUACAUACUACUGCCCAUGACUGGUUUGUGCAUUUUAGAUUCAUGUAGCUUGUGGUUUGGAUGUGUGCAAAAUGACAUGUUGUUUUGGACAGAUUACUUGCAUAAUUGUUCUGCACUUUGUGGGAGUUAUACCCACUUUUUUCAUGAUCAUUAGGUCCAUUUCACCUAGAAUUUCAUUUCCAAUCCAGUGGCAUACUUAGGAUACCUAGAAAUUUCCCAUAGCUUCUCUCAAAUUCUGUUUUGCCAUCAUUUCCUUCUGUACCUUGUCGUGAGUGCCCCGAGAGAUCCAUAACUCCGAUUGCAACGUUCUUCAUAUGCAUUUGCAUAAUUUUCACAUGAAGCAUUCAUUUUUUCCAUGUGCAUGCAUAACAAAGUAAUUAAUCUUGUGGUUUUGUCCAGGAAGAUAACAACUAAAUAAUCGCAUGAGAAAGAUGACUACUGUAGGAUUGCCAUGUUUCAUUCACACCGUGAUCAUGCAUCAUAAUUGUUUGAGCAUUGUGUCUUGGUUGUGUGUUCAUUGGAUAUUGUUAUUUCUUUUGGGUAGCACAGGCUGGUGAGAACAAGUACGAGGAACCUGUUGAGGGCAUUUCCGAAGAGCAAGAGUAAUAUCCCACUAAAGAAGCAGAAGGCCAGAUGAUGACCACCCUCGAUAUCGUUUCUAAUUUUGUUAUGCCUAGUUGUCUCGCUUCUAUUGUUAUGUCUCGCUGCAUAGCUACCACUUGAAUGUCAAGCCUCCCAAAAUUCCAUGAUAAUCCUCUAACCCCUCCACCUCCUAGCAAAGCAUUGUUUAGCUAAGUUACCGCUUGCUCGGCCCUUCUUAUAGCGUUGUUAGUUUUAGGUGUAGGUUGAUCCAUCUGAUAACAUUGAUAUUUUGGGAUAUCACCAUAUGAUUGCUAUUUAAUUUAAUGCACAUAUAUACUCGGUAAAAAGGGAAAUGCUUGGACUUUUUCUCAGUGUUUUGUUCCACCCUUGCCGCCCUAGUUCCGUUUACUAGCGUUAUGUUUCAUAUUGAGUGGUCCUAACAUGUUUGGGGUUGUUAUGGGGACCCCCUUGAUAAUUCAUUUUGGGAUAAAAUUCUUUCAGCAAGGACCAACAUUGGUACUACAUUUUCUUAACCACUUAAUAAAAAUGCAUAGGGCUUAGCUACCCCGUGGAUAAUUAAUAAACCCCUCGGAAAGUGCUCCCCAUGAGUUUUGGUCCAAACUAGAGUCAUGUGCGGGGCUAACCCGGGGAAACUCGAUAGAUUUCUAUUAGGCCAUCGUACACUGCGCUCAUCUGGUUGUGUCCUGAGAACGAGAUACACGGCUCCUAUCGGGUUCGUCGACACGUCGGGUGGUCUUGCUGGAUUUGUUUUCCCCUCCUCGAAUGUCUUGUGCACUCGGAUUUCAAGGAUAACUAGGGCUAUAUCGAUAUUGAGGUUUUCGAGCGCACCUUGUGGCUCGUUUGUGAUGGAUGAGUUGGAGCACCCCUAUAGGAUUAAAUAUUUCUGGAAGUCGUGCCCACGGUUAUGUGGCAACUUGGAAAUUGUUGAACACCCAAUUAUAGCAAACUUGAAGUAAACUCAAUUAAAAUACACCAACCUGUGAGUAACCGUGACCGUCUGUUUUCAAGGGAGUUUGGAAAGAGAACACGAAUGCGUUAUGUUUGAAUCAUAAGUAGGUGUUCAUGAUCACUUCCUGGUCAUGUUAAAUUCACCUCCGUUAUGUGUAGAUUGCCAUCCUACUCAUGUACUCGUAAGUUAACCACCAAAUAGAUGCUUAGUGCUAUUGUAAACUCAACACUUAACCAUGCCUCACCUAAUAACUUGAUUAGACUCAAUAUCUUGGUCAAUUAGAUUGUUGAGUCCCCAUGGCUCAUAGAUUAUUACAACUCCACAGGUCCAGGUACAACAAACGUUGAUGCAGUUGAUGCUCCCCAGCUCAAGUGGGAGUAUGAAGAGGAGAGCAGGUGUAUGUACGUCACUUAUCCGGACGAGUAAAGGGAUCCUUGGUCGUCUCCUGGGCAUAGGGAGAUAGAUAUCAUUUGCUUUUGUCGUUUGAUGUUGUUCGUAGUCAGACCCUGCUAUUAUGAAUGUUUGAAUGGAUGAUUGUAUGGAUUAUGUAAUUUAGCACAUGGUGAGUGUAAGCCAACUCAUAUACUCAUCUUAUCUAUUACAUGUAUUCUAAUGAUGUCUAUAUAUACU
rnacentral:lncRNA from 1 species